UGUGAUAGCCUUCAGUUGAGGGUUUGUGUAAUAUGUAUAUGUAUGCUCCAGGAGCAUCAGAGCAUGCAUGUCAACAAGCCUGUCCAAUUGAUCAGAAGACACAAACACUUGCCUUGAGAAAUUUAACUGUUUACGAUUUUGUUGCUACUUCCUGUUUGAUUUGUUAUUUUAUUGCAUAUGUUUCUGGAGUUAAAAGGCCCCUGCAGCAGAACUGGGUCUGGGAGUUGAUGUGUUCUGUAGAUGAAUAUUACAUGUUUGCUAUAGUUUUCGUACUCUAUCAGCAAUCCUGCAGAGGUUCUUGGAAUAUAUUCUACCUGGAUUGGUGCUUUUUAGUUGGCUGCGGAGCUCAUUAUGGCUUCAGUUUAAACCCCAUCAUAUUGCUGCUGGUGCUGCCUACCUUGCUGCUAAGUUUCUAAAUUUGGAUCUUGCUGCUCAUCAGAAUAUCUGGCAGGAGUUCCAGACCACACCGGCAAUUCUUCAAGAUGUUUCACAGCAGUUGAUGGAGCUCUUCUGAUAGAAUAUUACUUUUUAGUCAUAAGGAUAAAGGUCAAUGAUACCCUUUUGCUAUGUGGUAUAUAUAAUAUAUAUAUAUAUAUAUAUAUAUAUAUGUGCAUUCUUUUACCAAAUCAGGAUAUGCUUAUCAGUAGAAUGUAGAAUGAGAAGACUUGUGUCUUGAAAGGAUUGGAUAUGUUCAUAUCGUCUUUCUGAACUGGCUGCAAAGAUAUUUUGUUACAGGUAUCAACUUGUCGGAGCAAUGACAAAAUGAAAUGAUGAUUAAUUUGCCAAAUUCUACUCU